GACAGAGGUGCCAAGCGUUAGGCGGAAUCACUGGGCUUAAAGCGCGCGCAGGCGGUCCUUUAAGUCUGAUGUGAAAGCCCACGGCUCAACCGUGGAGGGUCAUUGGAAACUGGGGGGACUUGAGUACAGAAGAGAAGAGUGGAAUUCCACGUGUAGCGGUGAAAAUGCGUAGAGAUGUGGAGGAACACCAGUGGCGAAGGCGACUCUUUGGUCUGUAACUGACGCUGAGGCGCGAAAGCGUGGGGAGCAAACAGG
rnacentral:rRNA from 1 species